CUCGUAGGCGGUUCGGCAAGUCGGAUGUGAAAUCUCCACGCUCAACGUGGAGGGGCCAUUCGAAACUGCCGUGACUCGAGUCCGGUAGGGGAGUGCGGAAUUCCCGGUGUAGCGGUGAAAUGCGCAGAUAUCGGGAGGAACACCAGUGGCGAAGGCGGCACUCUGGGCCGGAACUGACGCUGAGGAGCGAAAGCGUGGGAGCGAACA
rnacentral:rRNA from 1 species